ACUGUUUCCUCUACAGAUGAAGGUAGAGCGUCUCUGAUAGCUGAUGUGGAUGUGAAUUCAGCAGCAGAUAACAAGGUUGUUGUGUUGGUGUGAAGGUGUGGACUCUGCUAUGAGUCAGUGUGAGGACAGAGAGGAGGGAGUCCCUCCCUCUAAAAGCACUCUGUGUGGGGAACAUGACAGCCAGACCAAAGGUCAGAGGAUCCAUCAGAGACCAGACUGUGCUGGACCUGGACCUGAACCUGGACCUGGACCUGGACCUGGACCUGGACCUGGACCCAGCUGUGUGUCCAUGAAGAGUGACC